AGAGUUUGAUCCUGGCUCAGGAUAAACGCUGGCGGCGUGCCUAACACAUGCAAGUCGAACGCCCUACGCUUCGGUGUAGGGAGUGGCGGACGGGUGAGGAACACGUGGGUCAUCUACCUUGGGGUGAGGAAUACCGGCGAGAAAUCGCCGACAAUACCGCAUACGUUUGGAGACAAACAAAGCCUCCGUAAGGAGGCGCC
rnacentral:rRNA from 1 species